rnacentral:rRNA from 1 species
CCUACGGGAGGCAGCAGUGAGGAAUAUUGGUCAAUGGACGAGAGUCUGAACCAGCCAAGUAGCGUGAAGGAUGACUGCCCUAUGGGUUGUAAACUUCUUUUAUAUGGGAAUAAAAUGUUCCACGUGUGGGAUUUUGUAUGUACCAUAUGAAUAAGGAUCGGCUAACUCCGUGCCAGCAGCCGCGGUAAUACGGAGGAUCCGAGCGUUAUCCGGAUUUAUUGGGUUUAAAGGGAGCGUAGGUGGAUUGUUAAGUCAGUUGUGAAAGUUUGCGGCGCAACCGUAAAAUUGCAGUUGAAACUGGCAGUCUUGAGUACAGUAGAGGUGGGCGGAAUUCGUGGUGUAGCGGUGAAAUGCUUAGAUAUCACGAAGAACUCCGAUUGCGAAGGCAGUUCACUGGACUGCAACUGACACUGAGGCUCGAAAGUGUGGGUAUCAAACAGGAUUAGAGACCCCGGUAGUC